AUGGAGAUUAAUGAAAGUAAUACAUCACAAGUUGAAUACAAACAACAGUAUCGAAAAUCUCUAAACAGAGUACACAAAUUCACAUUUGUCCAAAUGAAGAGUGAUGUUUUAACAAUGGUAUUGAUCUCCUGUGCACUGUGCUUUGGAAACUCUGGGAAUCUACCUGUGGUCUACAAGCAGGAAAUAAUAGAAGAAAUAAUUAUUGAGGGAAUGGAUGGAAAGAAAGAAGAGGACUUAACAUCAAUCAAGUAUGUCUUUCAUGUCCAUGACAUACUUAGCUAGCCUCUGCGAGGCCAUGAUGGGAAGUUAUUGGAGCCCAUCAGAAAAUUACAAUUUCGGGAGCGUGGCAAUCCCAUUGACUGAGUAUAUUUGUCGGUGAUAUUGGUAACCAAAGCACAGAUUUAAAGAAGGUAAGAAGUAAUUGGUACUUAGGACUCGUAGUCUUCAGUUUUCUCAUUUUUCUGUGCUGUGAACAUCACCACCCUUUCAGUCUUUAAUUGUAGCAAACACGUACUAUACACUAGAGAUCCUUGAACUUGUCAGUCAGUAGAACAUCUGGAAGUAAUAGCAAUCUUUGCACAACACCAUAUAAUAUUGACAUAUUAAAUUUAAAAUAACAGAAUAUAAAAUAUGACACCAGG
rnacentral:lncRNA from 1 species